CAAGUGCGCUGGACAGCCGCGCGGCCAGGCCGAAAGGCCGUCCGUGAGGAAAGUCCGGGCUCCACAGGGCAAGGAUAACGGGUAACACCCGCCGGGGGCGACCCCAGGAAAAGUGCAACAGAAAUAGUCUGCUGCCGCCACCCCUCACAGGGAGGCGGCAGUCAAGGUGGAAAGGCGAGGUAAGAGCUCACCCAAUGGCGUGUCAAGCGCCCAUUGCUGUAAACUCUAUCCGGAGCAACGCCGUGGGAACACAUAUGGCCGGCCCGGCCGUGUUCAGGAGGCGGCUGGAGCGCACCGGCAACGGUGCGCCUAGAUAGAUGGCUGUCUUGAAUGACAGAACCCGGCUUACAGGCUCACUUGCGGC
rnacentral:RNase_P_RNA from 1 species